rnacentral:rRNA from 1 species
AACGUAGGACGCAAGCGUUAUCCGGAGUUACUGGGCGUAAAGCGCGGGCAGGCGGCUCGAAACGUCUGAUGUGAAAUCUCCUCGCUCAACGGGGAGAGGCCAUUGGAAACGGUCGAGCUGGAGGGCAGUAGAGGUAGGCGGAAUUCCGGGUGGAGUGGUGAAAUGCGUAGAGAUCCGGAGGAACACCAGAGGCGAAGGCGGCUCUUUGGUCUGUAACUGACGCUGAGGCGCGAAAGCGUGGGGAGCAAACAGG